rnacentral:rRNA from 1 species
GAUGAACGCUGGCGGCGUGCCUAAUACAUGCAAGUCGAGCGAACGGACGAGAAGCUUGCUUCUCUGAUGUUAGCGGCGGACGGGUGAGUCACACGUGGAUAACCUACCUAUAAGACUGGGAUAACUUCGGGAAACCGUAGCUAAUACCGGAUAAUAUUUUGAACCGCAUGGUUCAAAAGUGAAAGACGGUCUUGCUGUCACUUAUAGAUGGAUCCGCGCUGCAUUAGCUAGUUGGUAAGGUAACGGCUUACCAAGGCAACGAUGCAUAGCCGACCUGAGAGGGUGAUCGGCCAGACUGGAACUGAGACACGGUCCAGACUCCUACGGGAGGUAGCAGUAGGGAAUCUUCCGCAAUGGGCGAAAGCCUGACGGAGCAACGCCGCGUGAGUGAUGAAGGUCUUCGGAUCGUAAAACUCUGUUAUUAGGGAAGAACAUAUGUGUAAGUAACUGUGCACAUCUUGACGGUACCUAAUCAGAAAGCCACGGCUAACUACGUG